CCGACUGUCGCUGCCCCCGCCCCGCCUCGUCCCUCCCAAACCCUACCCGCCGCCGCGCCGCCCACCGACCGCUGCGGCCCCCGCCCCGCCUCGCCCCUCCCUCCCACCGACGAGGAGAAGAGGCACACCACGAGCAGCUACACCACCGGGCGCUGCUCCGUUGUUGUGUGUGGGUAACCGGUGGCCCGCGUCGGUGGAGCAGGGAGGAGAUGGAGGGUCCCGCGGCGGCCGCUCAUGGGGGAGGUCUGGGGCUUGUACGCCCCCGUCGUGGCUGCUUUGGAGCAGCACCGGCAUCCGGCGUCGGCCACGCGAGGAGAGGCGCGUGCUCGCAGGGGGAGGCGCCGGAUCUCACGGGGCAAGUGCGCCAGCGACCUGAGGUAGAGGUGACGAUUACAAGAUCAAGGUGUGGAACUACAAAGCAAGCUACAACAAAUGGCUGCUCGUCCCCUCCUCCCUCUGUGAGAAGGACGACUUGGGCAUCCCUGGGCAUCUCAACCACAUGAAGAAAAUGUUCAUGGAUUACAAGUUUAUAACUAGAAGUAGGUACUGGUUCAUGGAUUACAUGUUUUCUCUUCUUUUGCAAAUCAACAUGAGUUUUUGUCGUUGUUGCAAUCAAGAGUUCAAAUAUGUCACAAAAAGAAAAGCUUUGAUGUUAGCUGCAGUGGAUGGAUAUCAAUGGCAUGAUGUCAUGGACGGUGGCGUCCUUCCUCAGAUUUGGUGCGCAAAGGCACAAUUUUCUUCUAGGGCUUCAUCUGCAAAUCGACAAAAGUAUGAAAGGAUCAACUUGUCGAAGUGGUAGAAGAAGCUAGGGGGGAAAGAGAAAAUGAAUCAGAUCUCACCUGCAGGGAGAGAGGACUUACGCAACCAACCAGUUGCCAUCGGAGGCUUGUCUAAUUCCUUGCGUGAUGCCUUCCUGUUGCUCCAACAACGACGCCGUUCGCCGCGGCUCUCUGAUGGCCGCCGCAGAUAUUCUCCAACAACCGCCGCUGUUCUGACCGUGACGCCUCCUCGACGACUUGCCGCUGAUCUUCGAGGAUCAGCCGCUGCUUUUUUUCAACAACGGGGCUGCUGCUGAUUCUCUCAAGCCCGGAACUGUGACCAGAGAGAAGAACAAUGAAGAUCCAGGGAACUCCCCUUUCUUUACUCUUCCUUGUCUCCGUGAUGUCUUGUUUCUCUCUUGAAUGCCUAGGAUCACAUAUCUAGUAGAAUCAAGUUGUUCUCGCUUAAAUUCAAUCACUUACCAUGCGACACUGAUUUUUUGUUAAUACAUUGUCCAAGUCAUAAAUUUCUUGAACUAGUGCAUGUAUAUAUUUGGGUGCUAGUCAAUUAGAGAAUGUCCGUGAUACCAUGUUUGUACUACGUGCUAGUGUAGCUGUAUUGAUGCAAAUACUGCUUGUGUCCUUAUGAAUUAGUAAAUAGCCUUUCAUGUCAUUCUCCAAGUCUGCACAUAGCAUUGUUAUUUUAGGAGCAGAUUUCUCAUCCUUGUUUGGAUAAGAAACCUGAACUUGCUUAAUAGCCAAUUUAGUUGUGUAUUACCAGUUCAAGUUGUUUUGUAUAUAUCAUGUUCUGUUUUGCUACCGGACACCUUCAACUUAAAUGCUGAAUUGCCUUGUACACAUAAUUGUAUGUAAUCUAAGGGAAAGCCCUUAAUAGUCAGCUGACCUUAUGAACUGUAUAAAUGUAUAAAAAUCUUGUGUUGUUAAACCGAGCUUAUAGACAAUUGGCAACCUCUUAUUGUAGUAGCUGGACCUUCUUCCACCAUCCCUCUAAUAAAGGAUAAAUCAUGAUGCUUCUACUGUCAUAACUUGUUUUCUUGUUUACCAUCCAGGUACAAUGGGACCAAGCUCAACCUCCUCAUCCCUAGCUACUACACGACUGCCAUCCUGUAUAUUCCCUCCAGUUCAUGGAGCAUAUGAACCUCUUACUGUAGUAGCUGGUGAAUGAAGUUUCCAAAUGUUGAAGGAGGAGGACAAUAGGAACUUCUGUUAUGUCUUAUGAAGUUUUCAAAUGUUGAUGGAGGAUAAUAGGAAUUUCUGUUAUGUCUUGUCGUCUAAAUUUCUGUUCUAGUUUUCUUUGUCGUAGAAUAGUUUUGUUUGGUACUUAAUGUUCUUGGGAUGUAAAAAUAUGUAUUGCUGGAAUGAAUGGUUGUAAUAUAAUAACAUUGCACGUUGCUUUGAAAAUGUAUCAGAACUGGGCUAGGCCCAAGAUAGCUUGUGGUGUGA